AAACCAUUUCACUCUCAGAACUGGCAAUAUAAUGAGAUGAUGCACCUGUCAGCACCUUCAACAGCAUGACAGAAGUUGGUGGCAAAAGUCUAAACAACAUAAGUUAUAAGUAGCAGCAGUUGACUUGGAUUUCCGUGAUUAUCAGUAUCGAUAUGGUUUUCUUAUAUUCGUGGAGUAACAAACC